CUACUCAGUCCAAUUCUUCCAAGUCAUUUUAAUCACCAGACUCUUUUAACAUGUACUCUUACUAUACAUAGCAUGUACACCUUCUCUCUUUCACCUUUUUUUUUUUAAAUUUACAGUCUUCUUUUUUUUAUACUCUGUCCUUUUUUUAUCAUUUCUCUUUAAUGCAAGUCACAGAAAAAAUAAAUAUAUAUCUAUAUCAUUAUUCGGGAUAUAAUACAAUUUUUAUAAAUGUUGUUCUGUCGGAUAUCUUAAAAAGCUAAUUCUAGAAUUAUAUAGCGUGUAUUGAGAUUUAAAGUGCACUGUAGGCACACAGACCACUUCAGCUCAUUGAAGUGGUCUGGGUGCAGUGACCCUG